UACGAAGGGGGCUAGCGUUGCUCGGAAUUACUGGGCGUAAAGCGCACGUAGGCGGUCUUUUAAGUCGGGGGUGAAAUCCUGGAGCUCAACUCCAGAACUGCCUCGAUACUGGAGGACUCGAGUCCGGGAGAGGUGAGUGGAACUGCGAGUGUAGAGGUGAAAUUCGUAGAUAUUCGCAAGAACACCAGUGGCGAAGGCGGCUCACUGGCCCGGUACUGACGCUGAGGUGCGAAAGCGUGGGGAGCAACAGG
rnacentral:rRNA from 1 species